rnacentral:rRNA from 1 species
GCUGGCGGCGCGCUUAACACAUGCAAGUCGAACGAGAACCUGGGCUUCGGCCCUGGGGACAGUGGCGAACGGGUGAGUAACACGUGGGUAAUCUGCCCUUGACAUCGGGAUAGCCCGGGGAAACCCGGAUUAAUACCGAAUAGCCUCCGGAGCCUUCGGGCGCCGGAGAAAAGGUAGCUUCGGCCUCUGGUCAAGGAUGAUCCCGCGGCGGAUUAGCUUGUUGGCGGGGUAACGGCCCACCAAGGCGACGAUCCGUAGCUGGUCUGAGAGGACGAUCAGCCACACUGGGACUGAGACACGGCCCAGACUCCUACGGGAGGCAGCAGUGGGGAAUCUUGCGCUAAUGCGGGAAACCGUGACGCAGCGACGCCGCGUGGGGGAAGAAGGCCUUCGGGUUGUAAACCUCUUUCAGGAGGGACGAAGCUACUCGGGUUAAUAGCCCAGAGGGUGACGGUACCUUCAGAAGAAGCCCCGGCUAACUACGUGCCAGCAGCCGCGGUAAUACGUAGGGGGCAAGCGUUGUCCGGAUUUAUUGGGCGUAAAGAGCGUGUAGGCGGCUAGACAGGUCUGCUGUGAAAACUCGAGGCUCAACCUCGAGAUGUCGGCGGAAACCGUCUGGCUAGAGUCCCGGAAGAGGAGAGUGGAAUUCC